AUGACUGUUGUUUUCCAUCGAGGUACAUAUGUCAUUGGUAAAGAUCCGCGUUUCGACCCUUUCUGCGUAUGGGGCAAUGAGAUAUCGAUGAACGAGCAUCAAGUGAGGAAGCUGAUAAAGAUUGUUAGUAAAAUGGGUCCAAAGAUGGCAAUUAAAAUAUUUGUUUACACUUUAUCCAAGACAACAUCGAACUGCAGGAUGUCGUUGCCAAAGCAGUUUACUCAAGAUUACCUCUCAAACUACAUGAUUGAUGGGCAUGCAAAGGUUAAAGUAUUUCUACCAGAAGACGAUGAUUAUCUAGAUGUUUUCAUGAAGACCGUGAAGGAUGGUCGGUCGGCCAUCACAAGGGGUUGGACUAGAGUCGUGCAUGCCUUCUGCAUGGAGGAGGGAACAAUAUGGCCAUCCCGCUUCACCUUGUUCAACAACCAGAAUAUAUUUCGCCUCUUUCUUUACCGUCUUUAA
rnacentral:rRNA from 1 species